ACGCUCGACACCUACGGGAGGCAGCGGUGGGGAAUAUUGCACAAUGGGGGAAACCCUGAUGCAGCGACGCCGCGUGAGCGAAGAAGUAUUUCGGUAUGUAAAGCUCUAUCAGCAGGGAAGAAACUGACGGUACCUGACUAAGAAGCACCGGCUAAAUACGUGCCAACAGCCGCGGUAAUCUGAGCGGGCUGGCAAGGC
rnacentral:rRNA from 1 species